UUUCAUGCUGACAUAUGAUUGUAUUAAUGUAUCUUUGUUGGCUUUUAAGUCUUGACUUUAACAUUGACUUAUAACCUGAUGGAUCAAGCACAGCAUUGUUUUCUUCCCUUCUGCAUGUCAAUCCUCAAACAUAAAACGCGAACUUGACAAACUUUCAUAGCAUUCUGAGUACCAGUCUAUUUCUUUAACUAAUUUCCUCCUAUUUUUCAUUCAAUGAUCAAAACUUCGGAGGCAGUGAUGGGCUUUUUGCUUUUCAUCAAGGUUCAAAUCUAGAUUGGUGUACUUCUUGCUUGGUUGUGUAUGAAAUACCUCCCUAAUCAAUUUUGAUGUGUAGAGAGUAAUCACAGCUUGCAUAGACAUUCGCUUCUUUCCAUUUAACUUUUUCCUUGUGGCAAAUUCUGUGGGUUGUUUUAUUUGAGUAUGCCUGCUUGAUAUUCACUAAUAACAGUUUCUAAUGUUGUUCUUGCUGAUAUUAAUCUGUUAAAAAAAAUCAUUUAAAAUGUGAACUGACAAAAAUUUUGCAGAAAAGUCUUCUGUGCCUGGAGUGUAGGAAACAGAAAUAGCUAUAAUUGUGGUACGCAUGUUUGGCUUGUCUUAUGACACUUGUAAACGUUGUCUUUAUCCAUGCUCUGAUAUCCAGUAUUCUGUGCUGAGUUUUAUGAUUGGAUAGGAGACAUUAACUACGGUUAGGCAUGCACUCUAGGUUAUUUGCUAUGGUCUUUCGAACAUGCAGGACAUAUCCUUAGAGUCUUUAUGUAACAGUUAAGCGGAUUUUGACAGAUUGUUUUGACCAGAGAAAAAUGCAUCCUUCUAUACACUAAUUAUUUCAAUAAGACCAUCAGUGAUUACAGUAGGACUCUAGGCUGUGGAAUGUAAGAGCAAUUUACAUAUGGAUAUAAGGUCGCAUAGCAUGCAAGAUCCAUGAUGUAUCAUUGUGAAAAAUUUAAAGACCAGAGAAAAAACUUGAAAUCAAUGGAUUAUUCUUUCUACAUUCAUAGUAUUACAUAAUUGCUUCUAUUUUUCCCCCUUAACCUAAAGUAAUUAAAGAUAAAUACUAGUAAAGAUGUGUGCUCUGGUGAUAUGAGCAGCUUCAGCUUUCUAUUCAUACAUGUAGUAAUUUCAAUUAUUUUCUUGUUUAUGACUCAUGCUUUUCUUCAAGCCCUAUGUCAAUUUUCAAUAUGUAACUUGAGCUAGAUCUUUUAUGUCUGCUUCAUCUUUAGCAGACAUUUUCAUUCAAACUUGAUUCUUUAAUGCAACUAAACUUGUGGUUCAGUUCAAAGCAGUAGAUACAUGAGAUUGAAAGAAUACAUUCAUGAUUUCUUAUAAUGUUUCAUAAGGAGGAUGUGUUAGUGAAGCGAAGUCUUCAAGUAAUUUUCCUUAAUGAUUCAUUUUCUGAUUUGGAUGAAGUUAUGCGUAUGAGAUGUGUCUGCUAAGAUGUUCUGGAUUUGCCUGAAUCUAGAUAUGGGGACCUUUAUGGUUGCCUGUGGAUGAUGUUUCUGCGUUGUUUUCAAAUUAUUUUUCAUUUUUGAAGAAAGUGGAAGCAACUUGCUGUGACACCGAAGCAAGUUAUAGUCGAAACAAGUGUCAUUUUAUUUUGUGUAAUGAUAUUUUAGGAUCUUGUUCACAUGAAAAUUUUUGUACCUGCUACUUAUUGUGUUUGAGUUACCUUCAUUAUGUAUGUUGGAGUGCUCCUCGUCUUUCCCUUUACUAUCAUGCCUUAUAUUGCUGAAUGCAGUAAAAGUUGGUUUAGCAUUUCUUGCAAAUUGUACUACUUAAUGAUAGCUAUGCAUUUCACAUGCCAAUGAUUGGCGACAUGUUAGACUUUCAGUUGUAAUUCUUUGUGAGUUGUCACAAAAGGACAAUAGUCAUCAAUCUGAAUGUGUUUCACUCUUACGCAUUCUCCUCCUCUCUCUUUCUCAGCACUUCCUGUGUUCUGGCAUCAGGAUUGUUCUUGCCAUGCUUUGUGGUUAUGUGAUCUCAUCCAAUUCAACUCUUUAUUGACUAUCUCAUGUUAAAUGUGAUAAAAAUUGUGAUGAUCUAGUGCGUUGUUUACUUCAGAGGAUUAUUUCAAGUGAUUAAUACCCCAAUACCCUCUAGUCCCAUUUUGUUUUUAAUUUUAUAAUGCCGAAUUGAGCCCACUAUUCCAACCUUCCUUACCAGGCCAAAUAAGUUUACACUCUAUGCUACAGUUCUUCCCCAUUUAACUGACACAGGACAGAAAGAUAGAAGGGAAAAUGAAGAAGCGACCCCAGUCCUGAUUGAUGUGUUUCUUCACUUGGUUGUUCUUGAUAAUCCAAUCUGCACCGAAAACAAAAAAAAAAAAGAGCAUCAAGUUUCAGUAGUCAUCAAUAGAAGGAAAAAAGAUUAAUAAAAAGAUAUUCUGUCAGCGAGUUGGACGAAGCUACUAGUCAAUGGGUUGCUGUGCAGCCUGCUGGAGAAGAAAUGAAGGAUGGGACGGUAGCUCCAAGAUAUUUUUCCAAGAGGACAAAAUAGUAAAUCGUUUUGGCCUAGUUGAGGGUGUAUGUGUGAUUUCCAUGUUGGUCCAACGCCACCUCAAGAGGUAGGAUAGCCCAAUCCCACCUCUUGAGGUGGGUCAACAAUAGUGGUACGGUGCUGGGCUCGUCCAAUUAUUCUGG